rnacentral:rRNA from 1 species
UGGGGAAUUUUGGACAAUGGGCGAAAGCCUGAUCCAGCAAUGCCGCGUGUGUGAAGAAGGCCUUCGGGUUGUAAAGCACUUUUGUCCGGAAAGAAAUCCUCUGGGUUAAUACCUCGGGGGGAUGACGGUACCGGAAGAAUAAGCACCGGCUAACUACGUGCCAGCAGCCGCGGUAAUACGUAGGGUGCAAGCGUUAAUCGGAAUUACUGGGCGUAAAGCGUGCGCAGGCGGUUUUGUAAGACGGAUGUGAAAUCCCCGGGCUUAACCUGGGAACUGCAUUCGUGACUGCAAGGCUAGAGUAUGGCAGAGGGGGGUAGAAUUCCACGUGUAGCAGUGAAAUGCGUAGAGAUGUGGAGGAAUACCGAUGGCGAAGGCAGCCCCCUGGGCCAAAUACUGACGCUCAUGCACGAAAGCGUGGGGAGCAAACAGGAUUAGAUACCCUGGUAGUCCACGCCCUAAACGAUGUCAACUAGUUGUUGGGGAUUCAUUUCCUUAGUAACGUAGCUAACGCGUGAAGUUGACCGCCUGGGGGAGUACGGUCGCAAGAUUAAAACUCAAAUGAAUUGACGGGGUCAUAGCUG